rnacentral:misc_RNA from 1 species
UUUCCGUAGGUGAACCUGCGGAAGGAUCAUUAUUGUAUAACCGAGGAUCGAGGGCUGUCGCUGACCCGACGGGUCGUGCACGCCCGAGUGCCCUCACACACAUCCAUCUCACCCCUAUGUGCACCACCGCGUGGGUCCCCCUUUGGCUUGUUCGGAGGGGGGCUUACGUUUUCACACAAACUUUGUAUGCAGUGUAGAAUGUAUUUUUUGUUUGUGCGAUCACGCAAUCAAUACAACUUUCAACAACGGAUCUCUUGGCUCUC